rnacentral:misc_RNA from 1 species
UAACAAGGUCGCAAACAAUGUAUAUUACAAGAUAUGAUAUUUCUUCUUUCACUGGGAUUUUUUGUCCCACAGUGCUUCUACAUAUUAGGAAACUUUACAUAAAGACUAAAUAUUCGGAGUUUCUAAAGCUGCACUCUUACUCCACAAUCACUAAAAACCUGCCAAGCAUAUGUUUGACGGUUUGAAUAGAUUGCGUCUUCAUCAGAUCUUUGUCAGGAAACAGCAAACCAGCAUAGAAAGAUAGGGUUGCCCUUAUCUCCUUGAGAACUUG